GAUGUCUCUAGCCGUUGGGACUCUUGAGUCUUAGUGGCGCACUAACGCACUAAGUAGACCGCCUGGGGAGUACGGCCGCAAGGUUAAAACUCAAAUGAAUUGACGGGGGCCCGCACAAGCGGUGGAGCAUGUGGUUUAAUUCGACGCAACGCGAAGAACCUUACCUGGCCUUGACAUGCACAGAACUUUCCAGAGAUGGAUUGGUGCCUUCGGGAACUCUGACACAAGUGCUGCAUGGCCGUCGUCAGCUCGUGUCGUGAGAUGUUGGGUUAAGUCCCGUAACGAGCGCAACCCCUAUCCCUAGUUGCUAGCAGUUCGGCUGAGAACUCUAGGGAGACUGCCGGUGACAAACCGGAGGAAGGUGGGGAUGACGUCAGGUCAUCAUGGCCCUUACGGCCAGGGCUACACACGUGCUACAAUGGCGCGCACAGAGGGCUGCAAACCCGCGAGGGGGAGCCAAUCUCACAAAACGCGUCGUAGUCCGGAUCGCAGUCUGCAACUCGACUGCGUGAAGUCGGAAUCGCUAGUAAUCGUGAAUCAGAAUGUCACGGUGAAUACGUUCCCGGGCCUUGUACACACCGCCCGUCACACCAUGGGAGUGGAUUGCACCAGAAGUGGUUAGUCUAACCUUCGGGAGGACGAUCACCACGGUGUGGUUCAUGACUGGGGUGAA
rnacentral:rRNA from 1 species